rnacentral:rRNA from 1 species
AUUGAACGCUAGCUACAGGCUUAACACAUGCAAGUCGAGGGACCGGCGCACGGGUGAGUAACACGUAUCCAACCUGCCCUUUACUCGGGGAUAGCCUUUCGAAAGAAAGAUUAAUACCCGAUAUAAAGGCCGGGGAUGCGUUCCUUUAGGUUGUUGGUGAGGUAACGGCUCACCAAGCCUUCGAUGGAUAGGGGUUAUGAGAGUAAGGCCCCCCACAGUGGAACUAGGACACGGUCCAAACUGCUACGGGGGGCAGAAGUGAGGAAUAUUGGUCAAUGGGCGCUAGCCUGAACCAGCCAAGUAGCUGGAAGGAUGAAUGCUUAUGGGUCGUAAACUUCUUUGAUAUAAGAAGAUGUAUUAUAUGAAUAAGGAUCGGCUAACUCCGUGCCAGCAGCCGCGGUAAUUC